UGCCCAGCAAUUCCUAUUCCUACCUCCGCGGGGUACCGGCUGGAAACUACGAGCAACCUUAGGGAAGAUCGGGUAACCAACCCCGGUGGGACCUUUGGUCGUAGGCUGACAGGGAAGG
rfam:Aedes albopictus isolate Foshan contig4199, whole genome shotgun sequence.